rnacentral:rRNA from 1 species
UACAGAGGGUGCGAGCGUUGUCCGGAAUCACUGGGCGUAAGGGCGCGUAGGUGGCGUCGCAAGUCGAUGGUGAAAGCUCGGCGCUCAACGCCGAGUCGGCCCUUGAUACUGCGAGGCUGGAGCACUGUAGAGGCUAAUGGAAUUCCGGGUGUAGCGGUGGAAUGCGUAGAGAUCGAAGGAAGACACCGGUGGCGAAGGCGGUCUGCUG